rnacentral:sRNA from 1 species
AUAUUGCUAGCGCUGAAUCAAUUGAGCGGGAGAACCAAUUUAGGGGUGAAUCUUGUCAUUAUGACAAGUAGGGUUAAUUUCUUCAAUCCGAAUCCGACAGCUAAUCUCGUAAGCGUUGAAGAGAGGUUUU